rnacentral:rRNA from 1 species
AUGGAAGAGUCUAGAACAAAUGAGAAAUGUAUGUGUUACGUGCAUAUUGUACAACUAAAUGAUAGAACAAACAUGAAUGGUGUUCUUUUAACAAAGAAAACCUGGAAAAUUGAAGUUUGGAGAAGUCCAGAACAAAGGAGAAGUGUCUUUGUUUUCAGGUUCGUGCAUAAGCACAGGUGUAGUAUCGUCUGGAUUAGUACACGUGGCAUAAUCAAAUGUGGUGGAGAGAAUAUCCAACAGCCAAGACUACUCGGAUUUGCCACCUCUCAACCGUUGGAUCGGCUUCAUCCAACAGCGGAUAAUCAUUGUUAUUCGUACACUAUAUAG